GGAGAAAAGCAGGGGAUCGCAAGACCUUGCGCUGAUUGAGCGGCCGAUAUCAGAUUAGCUAGUUGGUGAGGUAAAAGCUCACCAAGGCGACGAUCUGUAGCGGGUCUGAGAGGAUGAUCCGCCACACUGGAACUGAGACACGGUCCAGACUCCUACGGGAGGCAGCAGUGGGGAAUUUUGGACAAUGGGGGCAACCCUGAUCCAGCCAUGCCGCGUGAGUGAAGAAGGCCUUCGGGUUGUAAAGCUCUUUCAGCCGGGAAGAAAAUGCGUGGGUUAAUACCCUGUGCAGAUGACGGUACCNGAAUAAGA
rnacentral:rRNA from 1 species